rnacentral:rRNA from 1 species
GUGGGGAAUUUUGGACAAUGGGCGAAAGCCUGAUCCAGCCAUGCCGCGUGCAGGAUGAAGGCCUUCGGGUUGUAAACUGCUUUUGUACGGAACGAAAAGACUCCUUCUAAUAAAGGGGGUCCAUGACGGUACCGUAAGAAUAAGCACCGGCUAACUACGUGCCAGCAGCCGCGGUAAUACGUAGGGUGCAAGCGUUAAUCGGAAUUACUGGGCGUAAAGCGUGCGCAGGCGGUUAUAUAAGACAGAUGUGAAAUCCCCGGGCUCAACCUGGGAACUGCAUUUGUGACUGUAUAGAUAGAGUACGGUAGAGGGGGAUGGAAUUCCGCGUGUAGCAGUGAAAUGCGUAGAUAUGCGGAGGAACACCGAUGGCGAAGGCAAUCCCCUGGACCUGUACUGACGCUCAUGCACGAAAGCGUGGGGAGCAAACAGGAUUAGAAACCCCGGUAGUCC